GUCACAUCAGUUCUAGCCAUAACAUCUUGUUUACAAUAAUCCCACAAAAUGUUCUUACUCUUGCAGGGCAUAGGUGAUUGUUUCAAUGUUAUUCCUUCUCUCCGCAGGCAAAGGAAGUCCACAGCUUCUUCCCUGAACUAGACAGCUACGUGUGAUUUAACUUGUGGAAUCUUGCUUGGACUCAUCCGUAUGGGAAAUUUGGCCAGAAAUUUCCUGUCAUAGAAACAGUGGUGAUGCUGGAGAACUGCUUGUAAGGUACAGUCUCUUGGAUAAUAUCGGAUGCUGAGACAGAAAGAUGUCUUUCCAGAUGAAGAGGCUGAGUCCUUUCCUGUGCAAGAGCUCAAGUGCAAGGGCUGCCCAAAAUGUUGUGUCCCCAAAGACGAGUCACAGCCUAUCCAGUCAGUGUAAAGGAGGUGCCAAAUUGCUGGUGUUUCAGUGGUGAACAACAAUUGCCAACUUUGAAAUUGACAUCAAGCCUUGAGAUCCAACGUGGGAGUUUUGAUCUCAAAGCACGCAUCCUUAGAAGGGAAGCUAUUUCAGUGGAUGCAAAUAGCAUCAGCUGUGAACUCCACAUAGCAUAAGAAGAGCAGGGAAUAUGUGGAAGAAGAAUAAAGGAAAGGCUAAGGAGGGAUUUCAUCUUGUGCAGCUGAUGGGCACGUGAGAUGCAGCUGCUAUCCUAGAAAUGAUACAUCUACAGAGAGGAGAGUUAUUUAUUUCAGUCUCUGGACACCAAACAGUUUGGAUCUGGGACUCCAGAGCUAACAGUCAGAAAGAAUCCUGAAGGGUGCUCUCACUAACACAUCGUAUCUGCAUCGUGCUGAUCCACUUGCUGUCAGGAGAACUGGUCCCAUCUUGGGCAGCCCUUAUGGGGUUGGGUUAUGUCCACACUGGGCGAUCCCCCCAUGUCUCUGCAUGCUGCACACCCCUCCUCUGGCCUAUGGGAGAUCAAGAGAGAGCUGCUUCCAUGCAGCUCCUGUCCCAAAGCCUCCAGCCUCAGCCCGGUUUCAGAAAUGGGAUUCACAAUCUCAACAGCAACCUGUUGCUGGUACGUAGAGAAUACUUAUCAACAACUGCUAAGUCAUCUGCAAGCUUUUCAGCUGAUAUAAGUAUCUGCAUCCUUCUGCACAAGUGUUGUUCUCUUCGUGUCUCUGGGUUCUCUUCUGGGUUUAGCUGGCACUUGAUCUUGCCAGUAAAAUCUGAUGCUUCUUGCUAUAAUAAUGAGAAAGACUCGGGAAAGAAAAAUUAAGUGUUUAUGAGUCAGAAUUCUAGACUUAGCUCUUUUGUGCCACACUAAUGCAAUUGGAGUGAAUAAAAUCAUGCAUCAAUCCAACCGCAGUUCUCUUUGCUGCAGAUCUACAAGUAUUAAAGAAAAAUAAUAGGGGAAAAAAAACAACAACUCUACAAAGCUUUACUAAAUCACACAAGAUAAUAAAAACAAAUGUUUUGCGUUAUACUGUCAAAGAAAGAAAAAAGACUUCUGCCCUCUCCUGAUUGAGUAUUUCAUUGCCUGCAUCCAUAACCAGUGAAAAGUAGAUAUUUCCAUCCAGGCUUGUUGAAGAAGCGCUUCUGUUGCUGCAAAGGACAUAGUGGAUGCACUGAUCACUACGUUCUGUUAAGCCACUGCGUGGUCACAGUAUGAGAGCUGAGGGAAAAGUAAAUUACAGAGGAAGGUAUGACCCUUCUGUGAUGGGUAGCUGUGUAUUUCCGUGCUGAUAGCCAAGGUCAUGCAAACUCAAGCCUCUGCUCACCCCAGGGAAUCUUAGUUCAGGACGUUCCUUACAGCACAAUUAGUCACUCGGUGUUUUGUCUGUGCCCUCUCUCUUCUUAUCUCACCAUUACUUCCUCUGCUUUCAAGCUCAUGUAUCCAGGGGAUGCGGGCAGCUGGAGAAAUAUUCUUUUAAUGAGCCUCAUUUGUUAGGUGCUACUGUUGAUGAAACUAUUAGAUGGAAUCAAAAAUUGAACAUAGUUACAGUACCUAUGUUUGCUAUCUACAAAAAAAGUGUGCUAAUGCAGCUUGGUUGCUAUGGUACAAAAGCUGACAUCAGGAACACGAAGAUGCAUUUGCCUUUUCCCAGUACUUAAGAUGGCAGGCUCGUUGACUAAUCUGGUGGGUGGCAUACUGCACUGUUACUUAACAAGGUGCUUCUGGUGCAUGAGAAAUGGAAACAGGGAUCAGUUGCUGCUUAGAAUGUAAUCAAGUUUCUCAAGUCUGAUUCCAGUGUUCUGCCUGUCCACUUUGGGAGUGUUUGUACUUAAUUCCUUUCUUUCAUUAUUUUUUUUCCCCAAUGCCUUUUUCAGUCUGUUCUGAUCUUAGCAGAAGCCUUAGUUCUGUUCAGUUUGACUACAUGCAUUACUUAAGUGUAGUAAUUCUUAGGAGCAAAAGAAAGACCACGUAUACAGGUAGAAGGAAGAGGUUGAUUUUAUUGUGUUUUAUCUGAAAGUGGAUGUAAAACUUGUGAAAAUUACUACCUUAGUAGCUCUAGAAGAGGAACCUUCCUCUGCUUAUCCAUUGAAAAUCCAGUGUGGAGAACAGCAGUAUCGAUUUAUCAUACGUUGAUCUCCUAUGUGCUUUAAGCCAAACCAGGAGAGAUCUUGGCUAGGAGCAGAAAGCUACUGAUUUUCAGAGGGAGUGAUUUCACAUUUAGUGAAACCAGUGCCAGUGUUUUUAUGUAUUGCACUCAGUUUUGCACCAUGCCUUCAGACCAUUCCUCUUUGGCACUGCUGCUUAGCUUCUGAGUAAGACCAAGCUCACGCCGUUGCUGUCACAAGGCUUCCUGCCCGUUCAAACCAGGCACUGUGGCAACAUAUUUGAAAGAAUCUUCACCCACAGCUUAGGCUUGAAAAUGUUGCCAAUAAUGAAUUCCUUCCUUAACCAACACUUACUUUCUGGGAAUAGUGAAACAAGGCUGCUUUGGGCAAGUGAUGUGAAGUGAUAGGUCUGCAAGCCCUUGUUAUGACUCACCUUCGUUUCUAUCACGUGUUCCUCUGCUACUUUGUCCUUUGCCUUUAUCACACUGUACACACUUGUGGCUCCCCAGAAGAUAGAUGGUGUUUGUUGUAAAACAUUCUGAACGUUUUUCAAGUGAGUUACGCCCUUUCUGUAAACCCAACAAUAAAUUACAAUGAGUUACUAAUUACUAGGGGUGUUAAAAUACGAAAUGAUGUAACGAGCAAGCUGCAUUAGCCAUUUCCUGUAGGAAAGAAGCACAGAGAGUUAAUUUGCAUCCAGAUGCUUAUCCAAAUAGAAGUCAUUACAGGACUGGAGCUUAAGCUGACACAGGUCAGCGAGGUGGCCGCUAUCACCAAGCCAGAGGGGACGGGAUUCCCUCUAUCCCAGUGUCUGACUUUCCUGCUGCUCACACUGCAAGCAACCUAGAGGCUUUCAAGCACCUUUGCUGGGUUUGGGAGCUUUGUUUUGUAAUUAACGUCCCGUUACUCAUGCUGGGAGCGUGUCAUGUGAAGGUCAAACACUUGGAAAUAGAAGGGCCAGCCGCUGUUGGAGGUAAAAUUAGUUCUGGUGUUUCCACUGAUGCUUCCUGCGUGCGGAGACAGCGCCGGUGGGUGCCGCAGAGGGCACGUCGGCAAUGGCAUCAGCUGCUGCAGCAGGGAGCCGCCAACGGGAGGUCUGUCCGCGCCCCGGGGCGGCUGCUUCCAGCAUCCCGAUCCGUGCUGUGACGCGGGGAUUUUGUGUUCUAAACGAGAAGCUGAGGCGCACGGGGGAGAAGGAGGAAACCGUCUGUCUUCCGUUCCGCCGCGGCGUUCCUAACCCACGCCCCGGCCCCGCAGUCGCUCAGCCGGGGCCGCUUCAGUGGUGCUGAGGCCGCCCUGAAGCACGAAGCCGUUCUGUAGGCGGUCCCGCAGCUUCUCGGUAACCCCCCCGGGCUCUUUGGGGGCUUUCCGGCGCGGUUACCCACCGGCCCCGUCCCGCCCGCUCCGCCCCGGCAGCUCGCGGGGCCGGACGCGCUGCCUUCCUGCCGUUCGCCUUCGCUCCCGGUGCGGUGCGGCCUUCUCCCGUGAAUCAGCACUGACUCAGCCGGCCGGCAUCUCGCCGUAGAAAGCAGACCGUUGAAAGAACGCUCUCGGUGACCGUAAUCCACGUCUUACGGCGCUGACGGAAAGUCACGGCACGCACCGGGCCCCUCCGUCCGCGGGCACAGGGCGACGCUCACCUCCUCGGACCUCCGCGGCCCUCCGCCUCACCCCGUUACGAACUCCCCGGGAGGCACCGAGCCCGGGAGCCGCUAUUGCUGAGGGUCCGUAAGGGAAGAGGGGCGGUGGGCGGGGUCACCUUGCGCUGACCCCCCCCCCCGCUCCCACCCUGUGCUGCGCGCGCCGGUUACCAGGGCGAC
ensembl:lncRNA